CACCGAGAGCCGCUGACGCGGGAAGAAAAAUGUUGGUUUAAAAUCAGCGUUUUAGACCUGGUGGAAUCUCUCCAGGUCUAGGAUGUCGUCGUCAUCCGUGUCUGGUGGUGCUGUGGGAGACAUAAUCGACCUGGAUCGUUACAUGCGGGCCUCCGUCAGACCUUCACCUCCUCACAGAAACGAGCGUCUUGUCGUGGACGCUGGUGCUGUGGGCCGAAGGCCAAUAUCGUUGAGUUCGCUUCACUCUGAUGAAUCGGUUCAUCCGCAAGGGGUCGAUUCAAGGCCGAAGGGUUUCAUUGAGCCCAGGCCCCAGCUGGCCACGCAUAAGAGGUUUUCCCACGACUCUGGCGUGUCUGAUGGCAGCCGCGUCAGACGGAAACGGAAUAGGCACCCGACAGAUUGCAGUAGCAAAUGCCAUUCGCGUCAGUCGUCAAUGAAGGAGUUUCGCGUGAUAUGCGAACAGACGUUGAAAGAGCAGAGGGAGCAAAUCGCCAAGGUCACGGAGCUGUGUGAGAGAUUGGCCGCGCCCAAGGGGAGUUCUUUGGAACCUAAAGUAAAGAAACAAUCGCUUCCAAGCAGCGACUCGAGUGAAUUAAGUUCGUCCACAACUACGACCAGUAGACGCAAACACAAAGAUAAGCAUUUGUCUGAAUCGUGUAAAACCUACAAAAUAAUAAUGACGAAAUUGGACGAGUUGAGUCGCGUCUUCCGUCGGCCAUUGCCACCUGCCUCUUCGGGUAGCGUAUCUGUCUGCGACAAACUUGUCAAUACGGAGUUGAGGAAUCAGACAGUGUUGAGAUGUGAAGAGCGAAAGCUAGAAGUGACCCGGACCAACGAAGUGGACAUCGCGCCAAGGCAACGACAUAAUGUUCUUGUGCACAGUCUUGUGGAGAGUGACCGCUCGUCCGUUUGUUCUGGGUCCGCCGUUGACUUAGAAGAUCCAAUACAGUUUUCACAAGCGAAACAGAGUGACGCAAGUGUGCGAGGGAGACGGAGGACGUCCCUCUGCUCGCUUUGUCGCUCGUACUGGCGCUCUUUGUGGCGAUGUCUGCCGAGUUAUAUUAACGAAGAUAAGACAGGCCGAUGAGAAAAAGAAGAUGAACAUCUGACAUGCACUGACAGAACAAAAGAAAAUUUACAGUGAAACGAUGGAGGAAUAAUAAAAAAUUGAACCAUUAUGAAAUACUUGAACACGAAAAUAUGAAGAAAAUCCGAUACGGAAUAUUUUGCCUUUUAUAUCUUCUCUUCCAGGUGGCGGCUGCAGUAGCCUGCAAGCGGAAAUCAUCCUGUCGUCCGCCUCGCUGUCCAGGCGGCUGUAAGCCGAAGUAUUGGUGACCAGGUCCCAGAGAUGUGGGAGGUAUUGAGCUGGGCAACGUGGUGUCUGAUGCUGGUGAUAGGCGUGGUGGAUGGCUGCAAAAAGAAGACGAUCUGCCGCCCACCACCGGGUGGCAGGCCUGGUUGUGGUGGCCGUUGACACAUGAUUACACUUACUUUAAACGAAACUAAAUCAUUUAAUACUGAAAUUAUAAUUAUGAAAGUACAAGUUGACCCUUGAAGACGAUAAAAAACGAAAAAUGUUAGUUUAAAUUUAAUAAAUUUGUUAACUGUG